CUCAGGAGCUGUACCCUUUUCAAACUACCAAAAGUUCACACUCUCUUCCCAUUACAGAGUAGUUACAGUUACCUUUGCUUGUCUUCCCAAAGAGACCCAGCUAACUGUCACUCUUAUCUCUUAGGCUCAUCACAUAUACAAAGCAAAAGCAAGAGUGAGUGUGAGAGAAAGAGUCUCAGAAAUAUGUCACUUUUCCAGUGUUAGUGGGACACAUAGCUGAAUGGGAUUAAAUGUAUUCCUCCUUGUUUCUAGACAAUAUUGGAAUGCAUAGAUAUCAAUGGCCACCAUAUAUUGUAACCUAAACACAGUGUCUGGUCUGAAGAAACUCAAUGAAUACCUUCUGCAUCGGAGUUACUCAAAUAGGUAUCAUCUAAACUCCAAAAGAUCAUCAAGCUUCUUCUGUAACAGCAAAAAGCAUUUCCAUACCACUUACAGAAGAAAAUUGAAAAUAGAAAAAGGACACCAAUCUCAACAGGUACUUUCAGAGAGAAAUGCAGACUAUUCUGGCACGACUACUGAAGAAGAAAAAGAAAAUGAUGUUUCUAAGGCAAUUUUGAUAUGGAGGGCAGUUAAAUUACCAAUAUAUUCUGUUGCUUUGGUUCCUCUCACUGUAGGUAGUGCGGCUGCUUAUUUUCAAACAGGCAUAUUCUCCGCUAGGCGUUAUUUUGUUCUCCUGACUUCCUCAGUUCUUAUUAUCACAUGGCUUAAUUUAAGCAAUGACGUUUAUGAUUUCGACACAGGAGCAGAUAAAAACAAAAGUGAAUCAGUUGUAAACCUUGCUGGAAGCCGUACAGUAACUUUACUUGCUGCUUAUUCAUUUCUUGCUCUUGGCUUCAUGGGGCUGUCAUGGACAUCCGUGGAGGCAGGAAAUAUGCGUUCAAUAAUAUCACUGGCAUGUGCGAUUAUUUGUGGUUAUAUAUAUCAGUGCCCUCCAUUUCGGUUAAGCUACCAAGGAUUGGGAGAGCCCCUGUGCUUUGCAGCAUUUGGGCCAUUUGCUAGUACUGCUUUUUACCUCUUACAAGGCAACACAAGUCAGAUGAACUAUCUUCCCUUAAGUGGUACAAUUAUUUCUGCUUCAAUCCUUGUUGGCUUCACAACAUCCCUAAUUCUUUUCUGUAGUCACUUUCAUCAGGUAGAAGAAGAUAAGGCAGUUGGAAAAAUGUCCCCUCUGGUAAGGCUUGGCACCGAAAGAGGUUCGACUGUAGUGAAGGUUGCUGUCAUAGCACUUUACUUCUUGUUGUUUGCCUUUGGUCUAAUCAAGGCCCUUCCUUUUACUUGUAUUGUAAGUCCUUCAAAUUGCUUUUCUGUGCUCUGACAUUGCCCAUGGGAAAACUGGUAGUUAGAUAUGUUGAAGAUAACCACAAGGACAAACAGAAGAUCUUCAUGGCUAAGUACUACUGUGUGAGAUUGCAUGCUUUAUUUGGAGCCGCAUUGGCUGCUGGACUAGUGGUGGCUAGAGCAGUCACUAAAAAAUAUGUUCCAAGUCCUAUAUUCUCUUGAGAUUUGUUCCAUGCCUUCAAUUUCAAAAUCAUGAUAAGGCAAAGAUCCUAUUGAGGGCUAUGAGAUAUAAAAAAAUUUUGUCAAAUAAACCAGUCUCAUGCAUGCUGGACAGUUUGCUGGACUAAGCAAAUAGAAUGAGACUUAAUCCUGGACAAUUUUUGGAGUUCCUUUUGCAACAUUAAAUUACCAGAAGAGCAACUUUUAGUACAUGUUU